AUAUAUAUACAAGUUAAAUCUAAGCGAUAAUAGCCCCAUGGAUAGUGGCAUAGUUAGAAGUGGAUGGCAUGAAAAAGUAACAAGCAGCAUUGUGAACUGGGUCGAAUUUAAUAGGGGACAAUGCCAAGAAGGAUCUUUUUAUUUUUUUUCCUUCAAGUCAUGCUCAAUUCACUAGGUGUUGUUCACUAAAAUCUCAAUUAGAUGCAAAGACUGAGUACCGUGGGGCUCCCCAGAUCAAUUAUGUGCAGGUCGAUCACUGAGCGACCGUCAAUAAAGUAAUCAAAGCUGAAAUAUAUUCCACUUACAGCUUUUUGUUUCCAACAAUCUAAGAAGUAACUGUAAUCAUUAUUCCCUUUAGCUCUGCCACUUGGAAGACUGACAGAGGAAGAGCUUCAGGAGGAAAUGUCUUCCUCAUUGGAUGAUUGGGAGAAAACUGGCACCCCAAAUCAGGUGGUUUUGGCCUAAGGAAAUGAGCCAGAAGCCACAUGCAUCUUUUCAUCGGAUCACCAGCAGGUUGCUUCUGAAGACACCUCCGGGCAGGUUGGACACUGCGCGGACCCUCACAGCCUGGGGCAACUGGCUGGUGCUCCUGCCGCGAAGUGAGCCAACACAAACCCAGAAUUACAAACUUCAUCACACGCAAGUGGUCCAGGCAGCAGCUGUUAAAAAUGGCACAGCUAUGAACAAGUGUAAUAGGAAGGACUGAUUGGAUCAUGGUGUGGUGAAUGAAAACUGUGAUUUUCUCGAAUGGAUAUUCAUCACAGGUGGAGAGACUUCUUCCACAUCUCCACCUAGCUUUUCAAGGAUGAGCCUACUGGAGCUCUAGGGUUCUGGAUCCGGAUAUCAGAGGUCCCGGGACAUGCUACCUUCCAGAAAUGACAGAGACAUUACAAGGAUUUCUUAGCUAAUGACAACUCUGACCUAAGUGCAGUGAAAAGCACCAGAAUGAUAUUUGAAGCUGAUACAACUGCUGGAGAAAAAGCCGAAAGAAAAUACGAGAUAUUUCGCCCCUGAAGAAAAUGCAAGUCCUGGGAUUACAAACUCUGCUGAUGGUAGGAGGUGAAUUUAGUUUUAAUUUUAGUUUAGUGCAGUUUAGUUUUAAAUUUAUUCAUGAUGACCCUAUUCACUGUCCCGAAGUCAAUGAGGAACUUAUUCACAGAACCUUUUUGCAACGUGGGUAUGAAUUUUAUUUUGGGGUGUAUUAAAGAUGGAGGCAGAGAAGCUAUAAAAAUAGUAAAAAUCCUAUUAAAAGCAUUUUUCUUUUAAAGAAGAUUGCCUUAAUGUUGGGAUCUUAAUGGGAUGAAGAUAAUAUGUUACCAUAUGGUCUGAAUUGCUGUUAAGAGUCCUUUUUUUAAUCAGCUAUUUAUUUUGAAAGAGCAAGUCUGAAUAAAAUAAGGAAAUGCUUUCAGAUUUUUUCCAUUAUUUCUUCUCUCAAAAUCUCAGCUGUAAAUCUGGUUAUCUCUCCUAAUGAGGCACCCUACAGAUUCAAACUUUAGUAAAGAUUUCCAGUAAAAAAAAAAAAUAGAAGAGGGUCACCGCAGGCAAAUAUUGUUACUUUUAUUUGUCUUAUGUUGUCUGAGUCUUAAAUGGAAGCAACUUUUCCUCCAAAAUUGCAAGCCAGGAAGACCAAGUUUCCAGAAAGUCAUGGCGAAUGUUUCAUUUAUACAUCAUACAUUAAAUUUUUCAACCAGCGCAAGGAACCAACGUUUCAAAAAACACAUGAUAAGAGCUGAAUUUAAAAGAUGAACUCUCCCUUCCCUAAAGGAAUUCUUAUAGAGAAAAGCGAUAUGCAGAUGGCCAGUAAAUUAUUAUACACAUCAAAAGAAAGCUGAUUAUAAGGUAAAGUAGGAGAAUAAAGGAUAUAUUGUUGAAGACCUCCCUGGGAUAUAUGAUAACAGUGCCUAACUUCAGAGGUAAUACUUAACUGAGUCUCUGAUGUUGUUUUGAAGGAUGGCUAGAAGGUCACCAGCCAAACAAACCAAAGAUAUUUUGUUAGAGGAAAGGUAUAUGAAUAAAACCAGAAGCAUGAAGUGGGAUGGCAUAUUAACAGAACUGAAUAUUUCUUUAAACUCCUGUCAGAUCAGGGGUCAAACACUACUCCCUGUUGGCUGGCCAUAUCCAGCUGCCACCAGUUUUGAUACUUUUUGGAAUGCAGCCAUGCCCCUUCAGUUACUACUGUUUAUGGUUACAUUUUUGUUACAAAGGCAGUGCUAGGUACUUGAGACAAAGAACAUAGAGUCCAAGGUAUCAAAUAUUUACUAUCUGGCCUUUCACAGAAAAAGCAAUUGCUGAGCUUAAGUCAGAGUAAAUGCAUAUAUAAAAAAGAAGGCAAAGAGAAAUGGUCAUGGCCUUGAUGCCUGAGAGCAUGUAAGCCACUGAGUAAUUUGGGUAGAAAUGUGUUUCCAAGAGAUCCAUAGCAGCCAUCAGCCAUCUUGCUGUUUUCCUCCCUCCCUCUCUUUCUCAUUCCUAACUUAAUUUAACACCUCUUUACGUGCCAAAGGCCUAUAUUAAACAAUUGAAGGAGAGAAACCCAUUCAUGAAUUAGUAAUGACUUGUACAGAAGGAAUUCAAGGAACUUUUCUGUACUUUACAGCAUUUGAUCCUCAUAAUAAUCUGCGAGCUCAGGUAUUGUUGCCUCUAUUUCACCGACUGAACACUUGAAAUACUGAGAGUUGAAGUAUUUUUUUUUCUGAACUCAGAUAACUGAUAAGUCGUUUCAUUACAGGUCUCAGAUUCCCAGAGCACUGAUCUGGGAAUCUGUGCUCUUUGUCAACACCAAGCAAGGUUUUAGAGCAAGCCUAUUCUCUUGAAGACUAAUCUAGCCCUACAGUUCUGACCCUUAAUUUAAGUUGAAUGUAAGGGUUGCUUUUGUUAUUUUAUCUUAGCCUCGUUGUCCCAAAAGCAGAGCCUGAAAAAGGCUUAUGUGUAGGCAGUUUACUUUGAAGUGAUUCCACAGAGCAGGAGUGAGGGACAAGGUCAUGAAAAAGAGAAAAAUGGGAAGGCAAUCAGAAGAUAUGUUUCUGAGUUGACCACUGGCAGUGUUGAAUUUUCCCCUGAGUUCUGUGCUCUUGGCAAAUAGCCAUGGUCAAGACAUCUCCAACUUGUUGUGUUUGGGAAAAGACUUACUACAAACAACAAUCCUUCCCUAUACAACUUACCUAAGACUUCUGGAUGGCUCCUGUGUUUACCUAUGACAAGGCCAGACACAGACCCUUCAAAUUCCCAUUCUUUGUCUCAUAGAUAGUUGGGUGAGCUGUUUGUCUACACUCACUAAUCUGAACAAAAGGAGCACUGACCUGAUUCAACUUUACUUAAGUUUCUUUUCUCACCUCAGGCCCCUGACCUUUGGAUCACCAUUGGAAACAAGGUCUUCUUCAUAGCCCCUCCUGAAAACGGACUGACCUUAAGGGGAAACACUCUGAUAAACUCUUUGAUUAUACUGCUGGUUCAGCCUACUCCCCUACAGCCAGUUCUUUCUAGCUGGUUCUCAGGAGGGUUUUUAUUUGACACCAUGUGUGUGGGCUACUAAUGUUGUAUCUUAUGAGAUGUUCUGGAUAGUCAUGUGAUAUUCUUCUCAAAACUCUCUUCCAGUGAGAUAAAAGCAAGGAGAGCAUUAUUCAUCAGCUUCAUCUUCCACUGGUUAAGGGUGUUCCUGUCAAUGUUAACUCCACAUUUCCCAGUUCACAUUGGAAAGCAUUGUGAAUUCACCUCGCUACCACCGUCUCCCUUCCCCGACAUUUUGGGGUUUCAAUGGGAAUAUGAUGGGAGCCUAAACUUCUACAUUUUAUAAAAGUUAGAUGGUGGUGUUAAUCUCAUAACUCCUUCUGGGAGACAGUAUUGUUUCUGAUAUACUAUGUUGCCAAGGGACUGCAGAAAUCAGUUUUAGGGUCUUCUACUUUACCCUUUCUGCCAAGAAUGUCUCACUUCACAGUUUAUAAAAACUAUGUGAUAUUUUUUUAAACUAUUAAAUAUACCUAUCCCAAUUAUAUGCUUGGGUGCUAGAAAAUAGAGACAGGAUUAGUUAUGAAUGUAUUAGACCCACUGUACAAUGGACUUGAGUCAGACUCCAUCUAUCACCUCUACUCCUUAAAUCAUCAUUCUAUCUGGAAAACCAAGACGGCACUUUCAGUCCCUUGGUAUCAGUGCAAAUUCAGACUCCAUGUCCAACAGUGUCCAGUUCAAAAAGUUUGGAUAUUUACUUUCGCCCCAUACAUUGCAAAGAUUUUCCUCUAGAAACUCAGCUUCCGCAUAGGUGGACAAUGGCUCUGAGGCAGGGAAUAUUACAUUUAAAAACUGGUUGAAAGGUUGACAUGAUCAGUGAUGUCAACUUUUGACUCACUAGCUCUCAUUUCUUUUUUCUUAGUUAUUCAAGUCAACUAACACCUAUUUUUGACUGUCUAUCUUUUCAGGACAAAACACCAGGAUCCAUUAAUCAUCUUCACAGAUCCUGCAGGUCAAAGCAACAUAAUUACCAUUUGGCCCUUGUGAUCCAUGAUGGUCAUUAAUCCACCUUGUCCUUGCUCGUGGAGUGUUGCCAUCUGGCUUUUGCCAUUCCAGAGUUUACCAUCUCCCAUUCAAAAUAGGGGUCCCAGUCAAUAGGUAUAUCCCUACAUUUAACCUUGCCCUGGAGAAGAGUGCUUUCACCAAAAUUUUUAAAGAUGCCACUACUCCUCUUACCUAUACAUUUCUCACUGCUUUAGCAAAGGGACCAUUCUCCAUUUCCUUCCAAGAGACUCAUUUUUAUUUUCUUGAGCCUUCUGACUCCUUCCUCAAUAAUCUCUUAAGCCACCUCCACUUUAUUUCCUCUAGGCUGGUGUUUCUUAAAUUUAAAUAUAAUACAAAUUAUCUGGAAGCUUCAUAAAAUACAUAUUCUUACUGAAUACAUCUGAAUUGACUUAAAAUUUGUAUUUCUAAUACGCUCCUGUGUGAUAUCCAUGCUAUUGGUCUACAGAUAACAGUGCCAUAACAAUGCUACAGGUAGACAGUUGUUAUGUUCACGUUGCAAAAAGCCAUCUCAUCUAAGACAGAUUCUAAGUGCUUCGAGGCCAAUAAAUCUUUUAAACUUGGACCCAUUGGGCCAAUACCCACAAGACCCAUUCCACAUUUUUUCUUGUUUCUUUCUGAUAUGUAUUGUUGGUUUGCUAACUUCUUCAUUAUGUGAACAAUUUCCUGGCAGAACAGAGACCAUAUUUUUCUGUUCCACUAUGCUGAGCCUGGGUCUCUUGAAAUAGGAAUGAAGAACAAAGAUGGGGCACUUGGGUGGCUUGGUUGAUUAAGCGUCCAACUUUGGCUCAGGGCAUGAUCUCACUGUUUAUGAAUUUGAGACCUGUGUCAGGGUCUAUGCUAAUGGUUCAGAGCCUGGAGCUUGCUUCAGAUUCUGUGUCUCCCUCUCUCUCUGCCCCUCCCCCAUGCCCUAUCUCUCUCUCUCUUUCUCAAAAAUAAAUAAAUAUUAAAAAAAAAAAACCUUAAAAAAAACAAGGAAUGAAAGACAAAGAGAGCCAAACAGAAAGAGAAAAGCCAACCAGUGCUCAAUGCAUUGUGAUCUUUGGAGGAGCAUUAUGAAAUGCUUCUCAGACCUUUGCACUCCAAGAAAGAAAGAAUUUCUUUUUAAAUAUGUGCAUGAUAUCUCCGUUCGUUUGAACUUCCCUGAAGUUCUGACGUACCCAGGUAUAAAGGCCGACGAAGUUUCAGUGGGCAUCCCAUGCCCUGGCUUCAGAGAAGCCCGGGGAUUAGAGGUAAGGAGCUGUCACAGUGCACAAAGCUUUCACAAAACGAGCCACUGCAGUACCGGCUGACGCAAGAGAUGAAGCCAGAGUACUUGAAAUGGCACAAAACAGUUGUCCAUUAUAUCUUCCAUCUAUCUUUCUGAUCCCACCUCCCUGUUUGUGUUCCUCCUUCCCCAUUCUUCCUUUCUACUCACUGCCCAGUGUCAUCUGCCAGCAGCAGUCAGUUGAUUACCAGAUACAGUCUCUUAAAUCUCUCUUUUUCUAACAAGGAGCCUGCAACUUCCAGCCUUUGCACUCAGAAAAUGAGUUCUUAGCUAAUCCUGCUGAAUCAGAGGUCUAGAUACCAAAACCUGCAAACCUGCAAUCCAGCCCAAUUCUACCUCUCGUUCUCUGGGCUUCAAUAUAUUAUUCUGUGUCCUCAUCUGGAAAGCAAAAGCAAUGAUAGUACUUGUUAAUGUGCAGACAUUUCACUGUGACAUGUGCAAAACUGUUCUGAAAACAGCAGAGUCCUAAACAAAACAUAAUCUGUUGCUUUUAUGUGCUAACUAAUUCAUAAUACCUAAUGAGAAAGGCCUAUGGAAUGCUUAAAAUACAUAUUCCUCCCAGAAUUAUUUGCAUUUCAAAGGAAAAAAGUCUAAUCAAAAUGAAUAACUGCUUAAAGGUAGAAUUUCUAACAUUCUGACGGGAUCUCCUGCUGCUUGUUCUUUUGUUUUUUAUUAGCUUCUGAGUAUCCGUGCAUACGUAUAACAACCCUUUUCUGAACAUUCACGGGUUGCCAUGACCCUGCUGGCUGCUUUAAAGAUCUUAUUGUAGGGGUGCCUGGGUGGCUCAGUUGGUUAAGCAGCCGACUUCAGCUCAGGUCAUGAUCUCACGGUCCGUGAGUUUGAGCCCCGUGUUGGGCUCUGU